rnacentral:lncRNA from 1 species
AUAUAGCUGCAGACUACAGCGGGCGACUUAUUUUUAGCUUCUGUUUCGACUGUCGGUAAUUAAAACCAUCCAUUUUAUCUUGCCAAUCUUGAUAGAUAUCUUUUUCUCAGAGAGAGAGCGUUAUUGAAUCUAAUUAUUGGGUUAGCCUGUAACUCUAACUAAGUAACUAUAUUAAUUGUCAAACUCUAGUACUGGAACACAACCAAAAUUUUGGGUGUUCAUUAGAUCAUAUUAUACAAUAUUGAUAUAAUCCGCUUGAAAUAAUAAUAAUCAUCAUCUUCCUUCACCAACGCAACGCUGCUUUAAUAUCAUAGUCAACAAAUAUUCUUUCAUUAAUUUGCAACAAAUUUACGAAAAGAAGAAGAACAAUGGAAUAAGUAAUAUACUAGUAUCACAAACAGUCAAAUUAUUGACUUUUUUUCUUUGAAUGUAAAUUGUUUGACUUUAAUAUAUCCCGAUUAAAUUGUUAAAUUUUAAAUUUUAUAUUGUAAUGUGAAUGGUAUGUCAUUGUCCACAUAAUCUGGUGAAUGGUAUGUUAUGUCCACAUAAUCUGGUGAAUGGCAUGUUACUUGUAAAGGGAGGUUCAGGAAAUAAGGACUACAUAAAUCUUUCUUAAAUGUGGGCAGAGGAUAUGAUCUAAAUCCAUGGUCUGCUCCAUGAUGGCUACAAAUGGCACAAAACUUUUAUGUGGCUUAUAUUUUUUGAUGUUUUGUAGGAGGCGUCACAAAUCUCUGAUGCAGCCGAGAGCUAUUCAAGUGAUUCCUGGUUUGUUGAAGAAGUUGAGGGCUCUUGAAAAUGAAGCUCAAAAUGUUAAACACAAACAUAGGUUGUAAUUAGAAUUUGGGAGAUGGAAAAGUUAGGUUGUGUGAAGUCCCUAUUUUAAAUGUAAUGAAUUGAUUGUAAUGAAGCAAAGCUUUUGCCAACAAAGGAUGACUACUAGUUGAUUUAGACAACUUUUAAAUACUGUUUUGUGCAAUGUGAUGAAGACUGUACAUGUCUUACAGGAACAUGAAUGGUUAAAAGCAAUUUUGUUACACCAUGAUCUAUUGAGGUUGAUUGACCCUGGGUUAAUUUCUCCAUCCUGCGUUCUAGGCAACUCGCAAGCCCUAUUGAGUGAUUUAGUAGCAUGCUUAUUUUCAGAUUGUAUACAUCAGUUUCCUAGAAUCAUAAUAUUAGAGAGAGAUUAAGACUUUGGGAAAUUAGAAAGAUGAAAUGGCAGAUAUUAACUGAGAAUGGUAAAGAACAAAAAUAGUGAAGGCUUGACAAUUUACAAACACUCACUCAAUAUUGUUCAACAUUCAUUCAUACAUAUCAAGAAGAUGAGUGAGGAGGACAUGUAAUAUAAAUAAAUUCUUGUACAUCAUCAGCAUCAUCAAAGUAUAAAAUAGCUUCUAAAUAUAAUAGAAUUUUGGCUUUUCCCAUAUAGCAAGCAGCUUUUGCCUCGUUUUUGAAUCAGUAUUGCCUGCUUCUAUAAGCAUUCACAAGAGAGAAAUGUUGCCCAUUCACAGGAGAGAAAUGUUGCCUCUUUUCUUACCACAACCAACAGGACCAACACAACUUCACCAUACCGAUCGCACCAUGACCUGAAGAACAGAAGAAGAACAAAUUCAAAUCACAAAUAAAUAAUAGAUCACAGAUUACAAAGCAAUAUAUAUUUCAUCUUCUCAAAUCUGAAAUACUACAUUCAAGUUCCAAAUUCAUUAUAAAGUCAAAGUUUCUCAAUAAACCAAAAAAGAAAUAUAAUUCUCAGUUAGGUGGAGAUAAGAGCAGAUUCCAAGCAGGCAAUCAGGCAUAAAAGAGUAAGAAACUACCACCAAUUUAUAUGUUUUUCAAAUGCAUUUCAGAAGCUUAAAGACUGGCACAGAAAAAAUAGCCUUUCCAUUCUAUUAUGACAGAAUCCUCAUAAAAGUUACAGUAGAUAGUAACAAGUCCUCUAUUUUGUAUUGUCAAAUUUACAUAUUAUAAUUCUAUCUCUCUCAAACACACACCUACACAAGAAAAGGGAAGCAAAAGUCAAAGUACACUUUGAUUUCGAAUAUUGAAAAAGUGAUAGCACAUGAACAGUAGAAGCAAUUACAAGGGGCAGAGGCAACCUGCCAAAUCAUGGAUGCCAUGCUUUUACUUUUCCUUUUUACUCAUUCCCCACCAGAAUGAAGAUGUAUUUUAAACACUACAUUGAACUAAUUCAUAAAGAACUUUGAGAAUAUGGAAAGGUAGUCCACCGUCUGUGCAGGUCAGCCACAAAGCAUGUUUCUCACUCUAAAGGAUAGUGCAUGAGCAAGUACCCUGUUUUGGCUUCUCCUCCUUGUUCUUGUCUGCAGUACACCCAAAGAUGGAAGCAGAGAAAUUAAAAUAGUAGUGCAUUAUGUUAAGUCAAAGGCUUUAAGGCAUAUCAUCACAGAGGACCUUACAUAUCAUCACAGAGUAAGACAAUACAUACACAAACUGAUAUCAAAAUACCGAACUGUUAUAGGGCAAAUCAUCACAGAGGUGGCGAAUUACAGGGCAUAUCAUCACAGAGGAACUUACAUACACAAAAUUCUUCCAAACUGAUAUCAAAAUACCGAACUGUUAUACUAAAAUUGCAGAAGUCUGACAAUCAAGGACUGUAACAGGGAGAUUUUAGCAAGAAUUUGAGUUAUAUGAAACUGAUUUACCUGAUUUGGAGAGAAGUUCGGCUUUUGUUCUAAACUGAGAAACUGAGGUAUAACAGGCUUUUGUUCGUUCACAGCGAAAUAGGCUACCAGCUCUCAGCGAAUCUAGGGCACAGCGAAAUCUCGGUCGCGAUUCUCAGUUGCAGUUGCCUAAAUCGCGAAUCUCGGUUGCAUUUGGAGAGAAGAGAGAAACUAGGGCUUGGGUAUGAGAUGCAAUUCGUAUUUAGAGAGAAGAGAGAGACAAGCACGGGUUUUGCUGACAAGGAAGGCUCUUCAAUUUAUGUUUUUAAAUAGUUAUGCUAGUUAAGGUUUUUAUGUUAGUUAGCUAUUAUACUCAUGAACUUUCCCGUAUAUAUAUAUAUAUAUAUUUGACGUGUGUG